UGGAAAGUUCCAGGCUCGGACCAUGAGCUGGAUCUUAGUUCCACCUCCUGAGGCCUACCUGAAGCUCUGGACAGAGUGAGGUCCAGGUGUAGGAACUGGCCCGUGGGGAGGGAAGACUAAGUCGGCCUCUGGCAGGAAGUCCAGGCCCAGGAAGUUGUAGGGUGGGGUCUUGGUAUUCUCCCAGUAUGGGCGGGACUGGAGGAAGCCACCAACCAACGAAGUACUGGGCCUGUGGGUAUUCGUCUCUCUCCCCGCCCCUGAGAGUCUGGGAAAGGCUGACACGUGGUGCCUUCAGGCUCUGGGGCCUAGGACCUUUGUGGUAGCAGAGUCACUGCAGAGAACCAGACAAUACCAGGUUGCUUAUAAAAGGAUGCCAUGUGCUUGCUGGAGGUCCCAGGUGCAACCAAAUUGCUUGCAGCUAGGAGGACCUUGAAGAGAAAUGGAAUCAGCCCGCCAAACCAAGAAGGGUUAGCACUUUUGCUAGGAGAGCUGACCACGCACAAACAGAUGAGAACCAAAACCGAGUGAAGAGGAUUGAAGAUGAACCCACAUUUUAAAAGUUCUUGUCUGCUGGAGGUGGCAUUACCUGUGACCUCGCUUCACUUCUCCAUACAUGGCUGUUAUAGCAGAAAAUCCAGCUUUCUGAAGCAUAUUUCACGACAUAUGAUGAGACUUAUGUGAUGUGAGACCUGAGAAAACUAUGAUAGAAAGAAGCAACUCAAGCUGCAAGGAUAUUCCUCAUGUAUCAUGCAAGGAUAUUCCUCAUGUAUCAUGCUUUUUCUAUCUUCUGCUCUUUGCCACCUGUGAGGUCCCUGAAAAUGAAGGCCAAUACUACCCAGGUAAGCAAAUACCCGAAAGGCCAAAAAGACUGGGUAAUCUGGUGUUCCCGUUAAUUCUCCCUAUUAGAGUUUUAAUCUGAGACUUUCUCUUUUGUGAAUUCUUUGACACUUUUAAGGAGAAUUUUGUAUUUCGUCCUAUAUAUUUUGUUUCCAUUGGAGAGAUAUGGAGGAGAAAUGGUCCAAAUAUUAUAGCCAACCAUAAACAAAAACUGAAUUACUCCUAAAUCUAUUUAACAAGUUGAAAUAUGACUAAGCUGUUCAGUAAUAUUUGUUAUUUAUUUCAAUGAAUAUUUUCCUUAACUUUCUGAGGAAACUAAGUAACUAAUUUCAAAUGAG
rnacentral:lncRNA from 1 species